CCCUCUGGUCCACACGGUUUUAUUUACUGCUGCCCUGUCUCCAGGCGAGGAUGUAACCGGGCCACUCGAGCUGUUUUAUUGGGAUCUGCUUGCUUACAAGAGCCCCCGUGUAGCUCCUGUGUGCCAGAGGUGAGAGGUAGUCUUCUGCCAGCACCAAGGGCGUGGCUACUCUUGCCUUCUGAAGCAAAGGCGGGGCUCCUCCCUGGUCCUGAGGUGGUGACCAUCUUCUGUCCCCUGGCUCAGCCCUGCUAUCACCCUCCUCCUGCCUACUGAUUCCCACACCGUUGGAUGCAGCAGGUUCCUCUAAAAGAGGGAGAGAGCCUGAGACCGCUUGAAGAGCUAUCCUCUGUCCGCACCCGCCCACCUGCUGCAGCUGCACCCGAACUGCUGGGAACGUGAGAAAGUCGUGGCAUGGGGGAUCACAGUCUGCCUUCUGCCUCAACAGCUGGGCUCUCCUCCAGCUGGUGACAUUCAGGGUCUGGAGGGCCAGGACCACCUCCCCUCAUCCGUACGCCAGUGCCCCGUCUUUGGGCCUUUCACGGAGACAUGGUAUCUGUUGGGUUGUGGGCCUCCCUUGGGUGUCUUCUUUUGCUUUGUUUUUAACAGACUCUCACUGUGUAGCCCAGGCUGGUCUCAAACUCACUGUGUUUUUAGCUCUGAUCCUUCUGUCCUUCCCCUGCAGGUUCUGAUGAGGCAGCUCCACCCAGCUUCCCUUGCUCACAUCUGACCGGUCCUCCACACUCAUUUCAGAUGUCACCACCUGGGGAAGCCAUGUUAGAUGGCUACAGACACUCAUCAUUCUCCCACACGCAACAGACUGCUUGUCCCUAGGGUCCUGCUCCCACUAGGCUGAGGGACUAGGGGCCUCUCAGGAUGCGUGCAUCGCUGGAGCAGGGAACCUGUCCACUCCAUUGUAGCCAGUGACCUAGGGCAAUUCUCUUAUCCACUGUAAACUUUGGCUUCUAUGAGUUAAAGGAGAGAAGACAGCCUUGUGUUGAACAUUUUGUGAUGUUAGAGAGAGGCUCUUAUGGUGCACUGUGCACAGCCCUGUCCAUCCCUGGAGAGCCAGUGCCUGAGUGAGGCUGUGGGCAGGGACCUGGGCCUGGGCACCCUGGACCCUGAAAAGACCCCCCCCUUCUCUUAGAUUUUGGCAACACUUACAAACCCAGUGUGACCACACAGCUGGCCUAUGGCCUGCUCCCUACUGCUCUGAGACAAAGUGGCAAUCCUAGGGAGCUACAGAGGGACAGAUACUGGCUACUGUCCCAGGGGCAACUUCCCAUGUUACUCUGUUCUUAUGCCAGAGGCUUUGUUCUGAGGCUGUGGUUGGACUUGGUAAGGUUCUUACCCACAGGGGCCGGAGGCAAGGUACAGACAGCCCUCUGAGGGAAUGCUAUGCUGGGGACCCAGCACGCAGCCUGUGCAAGAUGGCACCUCUCAGAGGGCCCCUUGCAUUUACACCCCCUCAUGGCAGGAAGGUGAGCCCUGUUUAACUGGGAUGCCAGACAUGGACUCUGCUGUUGGUAGCACUGUGGAGGGAGCUCUACUUGUUUCCUGUCCGUGGGGUAACUAACACUGGAUUUCCCCUGAGAGAUGACUCCACAUUGCCAUCCCAGCUUCCUGGUCUCCGGAACCAUGGUGCAAAUAAACUUCC